rnacentral:rRNA from 1 species
AACGAACGCUGGCGGCAUGCCUAACACAUGCAAGUCGAACGAGACCUUCGGGUUUAGUGGCGCACGGGUGCGUAACGCGUGGGAACCUGCCCUUAGGUUCGGAAUAACUCCCCGAAAGGGGUGCUAAUACCGGAUAAUGUCUUCGGACCAAAGAUUUAUCGCCUUUGGAUGGGCCCGCGUUGGAUUAGCUAGUUGGUAUGGUAAAAGCCUACCAAGGCGACGAUCCAUAGCUGGUCUGAGAGGAUGAUCAGCCACACUGAGACUGAGACACGGCCCAGACUCCUACGGGAGGCAGCAGUGGGGAAUAUUGGACAAUGGGCGAAAGCCUGAUCCAGCAAUGCCGCGUUAGUGAUGAAGGCCUUAGGGUUGUAAAGCGCUUUUAACCGGGAUGAUAAUGACAGUACCGGGAGAAUAAGCUCCGGCUAACUCCGUG